CAGUCGCCGCGGGAAUACGAGGGGGGCAAGCGUUGUUCGGAAUUAUUGGGCGUAAAGGGUGCGUAGGCGGUUUGGCAAGUCUUGUGUGAAAUCUUCGGGCUCAACCCGAAGCCUGCACGAGAAACUGCCGGGCUUGAGUAUUGGAGAGGUGAGUGGAAUUUCCGGUGUAGCGGUGAAGUGCGUAGAUAUCGGAAGGAACACCUGUGGCGAAAGCGGCUCACUGGACAAUAACUGACGCUGAUGCACGAAAGCUAGGGGAGCAAACAGGAUUAGAUACCCCUGUAGUCCCUGUCUCUUAUAC
rnacentral:rRNA from 1 species